ensembl:lncRNA
GUGCAAACACUUCCAGAGCAUUUUUUUAAUAGCAAAAAAAAAAAAAAAAAAACAACGAGGAACUCGGCCCAAGGCAGAAACGCAUUGCAGGAGCUGGGAUCUGGAAGUUUCCAUCGCAUCCCGCAGCACGCUGCCUGCUCCCACCGACCGGGCGCCGUGACGGGCGCUGCCCGCGUGUGCCCCCCGGCCCGCGGAGCCCCGGCCGCCGGGUGAAGGGCCGGGCUGGGGGCUGCCCGCGGUGCGAAACACCUCCCGUCUGCCCCGGUGGAUGUGCUUAGAUACAAAUGUUUAUAUCCGCGGAUAUGCGAGUAUCCGGCUAUUGUCGCAUCCAGCUACUAAAUAACAACCCUUUAACAAAAAAAAAAAAAAAAAAAAAGGAAAAAGAAAAAAGAAAAAAAAAUCCAAAACAAAACACCCCACACAAGCCAUAACGACGAUGAUGAUGCUGACGGGAGGGGGGGGGAAAUAAAUAAAUAAAAGCGAGCGAGAGUCGGCGAGGGAGAGGGAGGCAGGUUCAAUUAUCUAAACAAAGAAAUCAUGGCGGAGUGUUUACAUUUGGCUGCCCAAAGCCUGUCGGAUUACGGACCCCCCCCAAACACACCCGGCCCCCCCGGCCCCCCGCAGUAGCGGCGUGCCGCAGCCCGCCCGCCGACACCUCGCCGCGGCCCGGAGUCUGAAACAGCUGCUUUGAAGAGAUCUUUCACAUGAAUGACUAGGCUGUGAAUUGCUAAGUUCCUGGUUUGCUAUGGAUACAACUGUUUCAUUUUCCUGCUGCUGCAUCCUGUUAUUCUUCCCAAGAUUUUUGUGCAGAACAGGGCAGAGAGAACUCACCUGCAGCCAGUGGAUUUGACUGUUGAUAAGAAGGAACAGAUGGCAGCACCAUUCUGUCUCAGCACCAAACACUGUCUGGGAGAUGUAUGCAAUGUAAAAAGCAUCCCUGUGUGGAGAAGCAGAUAGUGCUCCUGCAAAGGGACAAGAGGAAACCAGGAACAAGCUGUUGAUCUCUGUAAGUUUCAUUAGCUCUCUCACGUCCCCUCCUUUAUUUCUCUUCAGUAAAGUAGUCAGCCUCAGUCUUCACAGACUUUCCUUCAGCCACUAAUCAUUUUUGUUGCCCCUUUCUAUUUCAGCUUUAUGUUUUUUUUAGAUGAGUUGAAUGUAGCUUAAUACAGGAUUUCUGACAGGAUACAAUAUCCAGCUAUUCAGUGACGUAACACUUGAGCAUUAAUUUCUGUCUCAUUCUUUAUACAGUCCAACAGUGUAUUUACUUUUUCUGACCACUGCUUCCAGUUGUUUUGCUUUUUCAUUGAGCUGUCCAAAGUGGCACGUUUUCUCCUCCUUCUCUUUUUCCCGAGUGGCUAGUUAAUUUACAGCCAAGCGUUGUGCAUGAGUAUUGAAAAUUAUUCAUUCAAAUGUGCAUUACCUUGCAUUUAUGAACAGUGAAUUUCAUCUGUCUUCAUGCUGCGCAUCUGUCUAGUUUUUCUAAUCUUUUGUAAUCAUAAGUAACCUAAAUAUUUUUGCGCCCUGUGCAAAUUUUAUCCCCUUCCCCUCUCUUUUGCAGAAUGCUAAUGAAUAUAUUAAACAACACCAGUCCUAAUACUGACUACUGCAGCACUUUAUGGUGAGCCUUUUAGCAAGCUAGCAAUCAACAAUUUAUUUCUACCCUUUUGUUUCUGUCUUUGGCUGUCUUUGUUUAACAAACAUUUAUUUUCAAAGCAUUACUAUUUCCAAGUGUUCUGUUGAGAGCCCUCCCACAGAGUGCAGGGACAAAUGCAUGACUCUGACCCCACAUGUCCAGUGACAUCUAACACUGAUGCUCUAAAUACAGUGUUUGCAGGGCUGCUAAGGCUACAAGCAGGUCAACUCCACUGCAGAGCAGUAGACUUGAUUAGUCUCUGGAAAUAGAGAUGCAGGUACUGGCAGAUUUGACUCAGCCUAUUCCAUAUCCAAAAAGAAAAGGGAGAGGUGAGAGAGACUGAUUUAUGCAGCUUGCUGAAAAGAGACUUCUUUUUCUUUUUUUAAACCCUGGCUGUAAAAACAAAACUGCUGCCCAGCCAGAGUAAGCAGUCAUAUACCACAGGUCCCCUUACAGUAAGACUGAUGUUCUGCACUGAGGUUCAAGGAGCAAAACAAAUAACCCUGCUCCCAGUGCCAUGAUUUGAAUUUGCUUUCGGCCAGUUGGUUACCAGCUUUCAAGGGACCAUUGACAUGCCUAUGGUGCUGCCUGGAGCAAAUUGCAACAUAUUUGGUGCUGAAACAUGCAUUGUGUAGUGAUUAUUAUUAUCCUCAUAACCUCUGUUUCAUAUUUGAAUGCUGCUGGGACAUGGAGAACAAUGGUCAUCCCUUGCUUUGUUUUUCUUGCUUGGCUUUAAUGGCUGGGGUUUGAUUUUGUCAACAGACAGUACUUGUAACUUUUGUGAGCUUUAGUUUCUUCCAGCCAUUGAAAUUAAUUGUCUUGUAGCUCUUUGUCAGACAGAGAUGUGUUCGCUUUGUGAAUUGGAAAUUGAGAGAUGGAAGUAUUCUGACAGCUCCCAGGGAAGGAUGGAAACCCUCCUAUUCACAACCUACUCAUCACAGCACUGGGGAGAAGAUUCAUGUACCUAGUGCGACAGGAGGGGCAGAGCAGGGCAAGGACGUGGCAGCUUGCAUCAUUCCCCUGCUGCUGGCAAGGCAAGUCCCUUGCCACCAGCCACUCUCUGCACUCAGUUCCCCGCAGGGCUCCGUUUCCUGCCCUCACUCCUUCCUGUGCUUGAGUGGUGGCUCCUACCUUAAAGCAGCUAUUUUCAAGUUUUAAUAAUGUUUUGCAACUCAUUUCCUGUUUCUUAGCUGACAGCCUUUCCAAAAGUAAUCUUUGGCAGGUACUAAUUUGGGUGAUGACCACUUGAUCUACAUUUUUGGUGGGUAAUUACUGAGUCAGAAGUGAGCAAAUUUGAUAUCCCCUGACAGUCAGUAAGGCGGGCAUAUUUACUACCCACUCAUUAAAGAUUCACUGGUGGUGAAAUGCCCUAAAGUUUGCACUCCUCUCACACAUGAGAAAAAUUUGUCUGUUAAGUCCCAGAAGUUACCACUUACGUUUAUUUUGUCAGAUUUACAGAGUCUAAGAUAUGUUGGCACUUUGAAAAACAACUUUUUUUAAGACCAGAUACCUUGGUGUAAUGAAACUACCACUAGAUCAAAAGUCCAAUUGUAUCUGAGGCUGGAUAGCAUCCUGCAUCCCAUAACAAAUCUGUUCCACAGACAUGUUGUUUUACAGUGAUAACUGAAUCUCAAAAAUUUGGAGGUCUGAUUUGCACAAAUGCUGAUAAGUUCGCAAACCAAUGCCGAGCUCCUACAGCCACCAGAGCCAGGUUCAUUGGAAUGCUCUGGCAGCUUUGCUUCACUCUAGUGAUACAAAGCAGCUGUAAAUCCGGUUGUGCUGGCCUUACGUUGUCAGAAUGGCCAGAGUGUACCAGUGAGUCCUGCCCUCUGUACUGCUAUUGCAAUGAAAUUGGGCUGGGUAUCUACAAAGGGAAAAGGGAGGCUGUUCUGAGAUUAUCAGCACAGCUUGCUUCCUUGCAUUACUUUAGUACUAGUGUCUGCUUCCUAUAAGAUCCUGUGCAAAAGCGAGCGAAAAGAAAACAUAAUGUGGGAAGAAAUAGCCAGACUUCUUUUCAAAUGUCAAAUGUCAAAGAAAUUCAGAUUUAUUUUGAGUUUUAGAAGAAAUGUGGGAAAGGAAUAUUUGCCAGAUUCUUGCCCUCCCCUCCUGGCUUCUAUGAACUACCUUUCAAUUCCCUCUUCCCCAGUAAGUUUUCCCAAAUUGUAGAGAUCAAGUCCCUACUGCAAAUCCUCUGAGAAGUCACUUAAGUAGAUUGAGAAUCUAAAUGAAACUCAAUCUUUGUUUCUGAAGCAAGAAGUAGCUGGUAGAGUGUCUAGUUUUUUCCACUUUCCUUCCACGGUACCUAAAGAUAUUGAAGCUAUUAUGAACGUGACAAGGUACAAUACUUGCCUUAAAACCUCCAACAAUACCGUUUGUCUCCAUCUUACAACUUAUUCCUCAGCAUGGGCUGAGAACUUUUCCUGACCACUUGCACUUCCAGCUGUCCAUCAUUUGGCUUGUGCAUUGGUGUGCAUGCUCAGUCCCCCUCAGCUGUGCUUGUGGCAUCAUCACCUUUAUGACAGCACUGAGGAUAGAAUCCACAGUGCUUAGUAUGUGGCUCUUCAGGUUUCUUGUGAGCAAUAUUGAUUAAAUUCAUUUAGUCUCUUAAUGUGGUUUAAAUACAUAGGGUUGGUUGUCUGGUCCGUAUGCAGAGAGGACAGAAAACAGAUCCCCUAGAAUUCCAUCAGAAUUCAUUAGGGUUUUGAUGAAUAGCAACUGCUAAGAAAUUGUCUCCCAGGACUUGGAAAUUAGUCAGUACCGAACCAUACAGAUGUCAAAUCACCUAAAGAGAAAACUGAGAAAAGCUGGCUGAGAGAAUAAUCUGUUACUGAAAUCUGCAGAAUUGGUUUUUAAGGAAAAACAGAUAGAAAGAAAGAAAGAAAGAAAGAAAGAAAGAAAGAAAGAAAGAAAGAAAGAAAGAAAGAAGGAAGGAAGGAAGGAAGGAAGGAAGGAAGGAAGGAAGGAAGGAAGGAAGGAAGGAAGGAAGGAAGGAAGGAAGGAAAGAAAGAAAGAAAGAAAGAAAAAAAGAAAGAAAGAAAGAAAGAAAGAAAGAAAGAAAGAAAGAAAGAAAGAAAGAAAGAAAGAAAGAAAGAAAGAAAGAAAGAAAGAAAGAAGGAAAGAAAGAAAGAAGGAAAGAAAGAAGGAAAGAAAGAAAGAAAGAGAAAGAAAGAGAGAGAGAAAGAAAGAAAGAAAGAAAGAGAGAGAGAAAGAAAGAAAGAAAGAGAAAGAAAGAAAGAAAGAAAGAAAAAGAAAGAAAGAAAGAAAGAAAGAAAGAAAGAAAGAAAGAAAGAAAGAAAGAAAGAAAGAAAGAAAGAAGGAAAGAAAGAAAGAAGGAAAGAAAGAAGGAAAGAAAGAAAGAAAGAGAAAGAAAGAGAGAGAGAAAGAAAGAAAGAAAGAAAGAGAGAGAGAAAGAAAGAAAGAAAGAGAAAGAAAGAAAGAAAGAAAGAAAAAGAAAGAAAGAAAGAAAGAAAAAGAAAGAAAGAAAGAAAGAAAGAAAGAAAGAAAGAAAGAAAGAAAGAAAGAAAGAAAGAAAGAAAGAAAGAAAGAAAGAAAGAGAAAGAAAGAGAAAGAGAAAGAGAGAAAGAGAAAGAAAGAGAGAAAGAGAGAGAGAGAGAGAGAAAGGAAGGAAGGAAGGAAGGAAGGAAGGAAGGAAGGAAGGAAGGAAGGAAGGAAGGAAGGAAGGAAGGAAGGAAGGAAGGAAGAAAGACAGGAAGAAAGAAAGACAGGAAGAAAGAAAGACAAAGAAAGAAAGGAAGAAAGGAAGAAAGGAAGAAAGGAAGAAAGAAAGAAAGAAAGAGAGAGAGAGAAAGAAAAAUACCCUCUGGUAUUUCCAGUCCCUGGGAUUGGACAUCCCACUUUCUUGGACUUGUAAAGAGCUUUCAGAGGGAGUAUGUGCAUAUGAAAUUAGCAGGGAGAAUAUUGAUUGUAGUCACUGAAUUUGAUUUCAUGGUUUGGAUUGAUUCAGUCUAAACACAUUGAGUUUGAAGGAUAUUCAACCACUUAUUUCUAAGUGGCAUUUUAUAAAAAUAUUACCCUGUAUUAACCCAGUGAACAGUAUUGUAAGUGGCACAGUUUAUGUUUAUUACACUUAUUGAACAGGCUCAAUAUUUCAUAUAAAAUAUAUGGUGGCAAUGGGAAAAAAUGCUUGUAAUUCUUCAAAACUGUAUCAGUCACUUCCUUCAUUGAACAUCCUGUCAAUAUGUGUGCUGUAUCGAAAGUAAAAUAUGCACUAAUCUAUAUAAUUGGCAAUGUGAUUAUCUUUUUAAUUGUGAAAACUAUGUAUGUAUCUUCUGUUUUGUGGUGAGGAAAAAAAAAAACAUCAAAAUAUCACCCUGUGUGAAGAAUGGCAAGGCAUGUUAUUUGGAAAGCCUUGUUCUAGUGAUCACCAGUGCAAGCAGUGCUGGUGGGCACCUGAACCGGUGGGACUGGGCUCCAAAUCCAGUUGGAGUUGCUGUGGGAUCCUUGUAUACCCACAUAAGAAGCAGGGCUGCUUUCUGGCACAGCUGCCCCCACAUGAUUUAAAUACAUGUUGAUUCUUGAGUGUGUUGUGUCCAUUAAAUGGAUGUAUUUUCCAAGUUAGGCAGCAUAUGCAAAUCAAGAACCUCAAGAAAAUUAAAAUAACCAUCUACAAAACAGACCAAAAAAAGUUCAGUUUUAUAUUUUUCUAAAACUGCUGUGUUUCAUAUUACCACAGCUUCCCAAAUUUCAAAUCCAGAUCAAAAUUUCUGUCAUCAAAGACUUUAGCAGUGGUCUGAUCUUUUUAUUUUUAUUUUUACUUUUUUUUUUUGUCCUUUUUUUUUUAUUAUUUAAAUCUGUUUUACUCUGUUAUUCUGAAGCUUCUGUGAGAUUUCCCCUAGAUUUUUUUUCCACAGGCAGAAGCCACCAUUUAUUUGCAUUUUAACCUAAGACUGGAUUUUGAACCUGAAAUUCAAGAUUACAUUCAAAAUACUGAUGUUUCCAAUCACAGAAAUAAUUAUCAAAUGUAAAGCUGAUCCAGAAUUAAUUUUGGAUUUGGGCCACCGUCAAAUUCCACAGGUUCUUAUAUCUGCUCCAGAUAGAUCAGGAAAAUGCUCUUGAAGCUUCAGGGCUAUGUAUAUGAACUUUCUUAAGCAAAGGAAAUGAUAAUGUAUAAGAGGAAGUAAAACGAUAAAAUAAAGUCCAGAAUUACAUAAAACAAAACCAAAAACCCAAACAAAAACCUGUGUGCACUUUAUAGACUGUAAGACUUGCUCUGCCAUUGCUGCUUGGGAGAAACAAGGCAAUGCAGGUCUAGUGAAAAUCAUCCAUCAACAAAACCUCUGCUCGAGCACAUCCUUUUUGCAGUUGGUGUUAGUUGAAAGUUAGUGUUUUCUCUCCAUGUUUUUACAUGCUUCAGCACCUCUUGGUUUAAAUAAGGGAGGGGAACACUCAAGUAAUAUCGUAUCUCUGAUUCUGUCAGGAGAAGGAAAUCCUGAAGACCUCACUCCUGAAAGUUUAUCUGAAAUAAGCCCUAUUUGAAGGUUCAUUCAACUUGCCUCAUUGUACAGCUGUUAUUAAUGUGAUUAAAUGACAGUGAGUACAUAUGUAAAAACCCAACCUCUGUUUCUUGUGUCUAUAAAUCUCAAUUCAAUAAAAAAGGAGAAAGGAUUCUUAAAAUCCAAAGAAAUAUCACAUAUAGCUCUUCUGCCUUUAUUUGGUAUGACAGCACUUUAUUUCCUUGAACAGACCAAUGUGGUGAAAAGGAUUCUAAAACAAUACUUCUGUAUAACCUAUCUGCUAAAGCUGCUGUGAAAUUCCAGUUUUGUGUAUUUAACCUCCCUGUUUUUAUCUUCACUGGAAUAAUUCUAAAACAACUUCAGUUGUUCUUCCCUAAAAAUUGUAAUCUCAUUAUUCUUUUUUUCCCCUCCCCUCUUUUUUCUCUUGUACAGUUAUCCAGUAUUCAGCUGAAAUGCAGAGUCAUUACAGCAGGAGGUGCUGAGCAGACUGGUGAUCUGGAGUGGUGAUGGUGAGCCAUGGUCCUGGGUGCCUCUUUGCUGCACUCUUUCUUCACAUUCCUGCAGCCUGGGUGGAUAUUGUCAUUUCUGCAGCACUUCAGAGACAUCUGAAGGGGAGCUUAUAGACAGUAUGUUGGGUGUUUUAAUGUGGUAAGAUGAUGGUCUGUGUCUGGAAAAGUUGCUAACAUGAGCUUGACAAAUAAUUUGUAGUUAAUAACUUAUUUUUUAUUUUUCACUUUCCUUUUUUUGGCAAAUAGUUUGCAGACUCAUAAAUUUGCUGUAAAUAACUCCUAAGAGCAGGAAGCAGUACAGCAUUUCUUGAAAAACUCAGAAUAGCAAAAGAAUGUGACAAAUUCAGUAGCUGAGCCAUCAGGAUACAGAGAGCAGGUAUCAAGCUGUGCCAUAUGUACAGUCACGGUUGGCUUGGAAAGUCUCCUCUCAUAAAACCAAAUUGUUCCACUAGGAAGUAAAGCCAGAAGCUUUUUGCCUACAAAAUUAAAUUGUUCUCUUUUUCCCAAACCAAUUGCAUUUUUGUUGUUGUUGUUGUUUUGUUUAAUGAAACACCAGGCAGAGUCUCAUUUUUCUCCUCCAGUUCUUGUCUUUUCCCUCUUACUUCACCCCUUCCCGGCCCACCUUCCACCUCAGGGUAGAAGGAAAAUCUCAUCUUCUUUUUAGGUUCUUUAUCUUUUCCUCUCUGAGACAGUGUCAUCUAACCCUCACUGCCUUCCACCACUGCAAAGUAAGGAGAAAUGGAGGGGGGACCUGGAGAAAUGGAGGACUUGAACUGCCCAGGUUGCUCAGCAGGUGACAGAGCUGAGCCCUGCAGACCCUAGCUCUGCAGAAAUAGCUCAAGCAAGCAAGAGAUUAGAUGCUUUAUUUCCCUACAGUGGUGCAUUUCAAUUGAUGCCUAAACUAAAAGGCAUCUAAGGAGAUAGGCCUGCUUACUGUAAAAUAGGAACUAAGAAGUCAUCAGUACAUAAAAACUGCCUUUGUCCUUAUGAAUAUGAAACUCUCUCAGCCUACGAAGCCUGUGGAGGAAUCAAAAGUUAACAUUUUCUCCUCUAUCCUUCUUCUGGGCAUUAGACUCUCCAGGUGUGUGGAAGAUAGCAUUGAUAGGAUUUGGUCUUUACUUGGUCUUAAUGCACUGUUAGGAUUCAUCAGAAAUAGUGAGGAAUCCACUGCCUGCUACUGUAGAACUGUUUUGCUAAUGCCUUCCUGUCUCAAACCAAGCCUUCCAAGGCUUCUUCUGUGCAGUGCCAAUCAGGUGCCCUUCUGGGCCAAUCCUGUCCAGCUACUGGGGGUACUAGUGUAAAGAUGAUGGGAAAAGAUUUCUCUGUGAUUUCCAAACAGAUAGGAAGUUGGGUUUAAUAGUGUAACGCAGACGGUGAUUUUGUUGUCUCAUUCAUGUAGUGUCCCUCAUGAUAAGAACAUUUGCCUUAGUAUGCACAUUGCUUUCUUUGAAGACUGCACACAGUGUGGAUUUGUUUUGAGUGUAUUCCUCCUAUGUCACUGCACAGUGUUUUACGCAUUACUUCAGUCUUUUGGUACCCAAGGAUUCAGAUCAGCCAGGAGAGAGCAGCCCUAGAACUAGAGGCAAAAUGCAUGCACAGUAUUACUGGCAAUACAAUAGUUAUUUCCUCUUCUUAGUACAAAGGGAGACCAGCAGCAUCUCAAACAGCAGUAUGUCUUCUUUCUGACAUGCUGCAGACUGAAAGGAGCAGCGUGCCUCCAUGGUCCUGUGCCACUGCAGCUACAGGUGUUGGCUGGGCAGCUGGGUCCUGCUCUUACUGUUGGAGAUCAAUGAGGAGCUGCCGCUACUGUCGUUUGCUUCCCUAGUUUCUGCAGACUCUCCGUGUCAGGUCUGGUAUCAGACUGGGAGCACUGGAGAAUAUACUCAAGGGGGCAGCCAUUCCCCAUACAAAUGUGCCGCUGGGGCAUGGCUCCCGGCAUUGUGGGGCAGUGGGGCUGCAUGGGAAGGCUCCCAUGGCUCCAAGUGAGAAACUGUUUUCUCUAUGGAAGUGACUUGGUUUGAGGAAAGGAGGAAGGAGAAUAGGGGAUGCACACACACACAAAAUAGUUGGGGCAAAAGGCAUAGAUGAUUUGAUGGGAACUGGGGUAGAUUUGAUCUCAGUGUGUGAGGAUACAGGCUGGUAUACGUACACAGGAAUGCCUUCUGUACUUUCUAAUAUAUUUAAUGUCACCAAUAACUGAUGGUGAGUCAAACAGAAGCAGAACUCAAUAAUAAAUAUUUUGAGCAUAAGUAGCCUACUGUGAGGCAGUUCUGAUGUAACAAUCUGUGCAAUUAACCAAAUUCUCUGUCUGUGAAUAUGCUGCCUUUCCAUAAAUGAGCCCCAUGUCUAGUAUUCAGAUUUAUCCUGCCCUUCACAUGUGGUCAGUGAGAUCAAUUAAUAGCAACCUCAAAGCAUGCUGUAUUGAGAUCUUUCUAUCUCUGCACGCCAUGCAGAAUAGUUGCUAUGUCUUGUAGCGGAUAUAGAAAAAAGUGGAAUCAUUCAUAAUUGCUAAAGGCCAUCAAGUAAAAAUUGCGUAUGACACUGAUGGGGUUGAAAUAUGGCCUUCAAAUGUUUUUGAUACAUAAAUGAUAGCCACAAAGUCAUUCCGAUCUUCUGCAGUGAUAUAAGAUGCUCUGAGAUGCAAGGAAAGAAAGCACGGCACUGAUAUAGACCAGCCUGUGUCUGUGCUUUGCCCCCAGAGCAGCCUGACAAGCAGAAGAGCAUUCUGCUGACCAUCUUUAGAGCCUGGCAGCUUCUUUUGUUACUGCCACAAUAAUAUUGCUCUUCAUACAGUGUUGGCUCAUUUGUGUUUUCAACAUGCAAAUCAAAGUAAAGCCAUUUUCCUCUGCUUCCCUCAAAAAACUCUUUAACCUCUUGAAUUUAAUAAUCAGCGUAAACGUAUGAAGAUAAAACAUACAAGAUGCUCAUGGUACAUCACUGCCACUUAGCAAGUGUCAUGUAUUUGUGAGCGUGCAUGUAAGGCAGAAAGAAAGCAUAUGUAUUUCUUGAUUCUGCUUUGGCUGUGCUGGUUUUGUGUCACCUCUUACAUAAAAUAAUAACAAAGUGAACACAACAUUGAUUGCAUUCAUUUGUAUCCGUGAAAGCAUUGAAAAGGAUUAUUUAUUUCUCUUUCCGUAUGUGGUCAAAACAAAAUGAUAAACAGCACAUAGGGAAUAUUGAGUGUCUCUCUCUCACACACACAAAAUAAAUAAAUAAAUAAAUAAGAGGGAGAAAAAAGAGAUGCAAUAUAUCUCUCAGUAAAAAUGUAGAAUUAGGGAAAAAAUAAAAAAGAUUGUAGGCAGUAAAUAGACAUCAAUUCCUCUGACUACCACAAUAGAAGCUAACACCCUGGGUGCUAUCUUUUGUUAAGAGGCAUCAAAUUGUUACGUAAUUUAACAGCCCAAUUGGCAAGACACAUUUGAGCUAAAGUAAGGUGUGUGUACAGUUUGUCAGAUUCCAGGAAUAAUCAUUUGAUGCUAAUCCUUUUACUUUUCACAGCCGUCUUUACACUAUACUUUCCCUUCAUGUUUGCACUAUCUGAAAUUGUUGGGUGGCUACAAGUAUAUUUUUUGCAUGCAUGUGAUAAAUUUAAUUCAUAAUUAACCACCCAGAUUAAGACAUCUAGGCAGGCUGAAGAAUCUUCAGAUGUCGUUAAUUGUUUUCUGUGGUAUGUGCUCCUUUUAAAGUUUUAAUCAUCACCGAUUGAAUCUGAGGACCUCUUUUUUUAUAUAUGUAGGAUUGUUUUUGCAAACCUACAAAUGGGUUGCAAUGAAAUAGCUGAGCUUUUCAGAUAUUGUAAUGGGGAAAGAUGCAGUCAUUUCUGUAUACCCCUUUUUGGGACACUGUGUUAAAACGACGUGAUUAGAGUACAUACGGUGGCAUGUAUGCUUGCUGUUGUUUCAGAUGCAUUGGGCAUUUAUUAAGAAAGAUCAUCUCUGAGCACUGCUGACAUACCAGCUCUUUUUUUUUUUUUUUUUUAGGUGCUAAAAUAAAGCUGAGGUCUUUUUAAACUCUGGAGAAUACUGAGCACUUGAAAAUGUAUCUGUGAGCUCAUCUGAAAGUUUGGUCCAUAAUGAGAAAGCAAUGCAAGUAGCAAUAAUGUGACACUUCAUUAAAAACCUUUUGAAUAUAAAGUAUUAUGAAUUGUGAUUCUUACAGAAUUGCAGAAAAUGUGCUUUUUAUUACGGGACAGCAUGUGACAUCCACACAUCAACAGAACCCUUGGAAAAAAAAAAAAUCUGACUGCUUCCAAAGUAAAUCACUGCUUAGCAGAUGUAAAAUCAGCACCAGCCGAUCCAGCAGUGCCUUUCCAAAGUAUGUAACGUCGUGUCAUUUGAAAAUGCAAAGCAGUUGUUUCAACGUGGAAUUUCUAUUCCCAAGGACCUGGUGAAUGGGGAUUUUUGCUCCUUCGAUUAGAGGAUUUGCUGUCUGUCUAGCUGUAUUUUCCUUGGCUUCGGCGUAUUGCAGCUAGGUCAAGGUAUGUGUGGAAGACCAGGAGACAAAGUGAUUUAUCAGAGGUGAUUUGCUCUUUGCUGGUGACAGACCAUCUGCAACUUCUUGGAAGCUCACGGUGAGAAGAGCCAUUGCUACUGCUGUUAAAAUGUGUUGUGUAUAAGAGUAGUGGGAAGUGCAAAUGACUCAUUUCUUAAUUAGAAACGAUGCUAAUGUUUUAGGUUUUCCCCAAAGAUGAAAUGGCCAAACACACAGUGCUGCACCUUGUGCAGGUGACUGCUGCCUCUCCCCGUGCCAUGGGUGCAGGUACUGCUGCAUUGCAAGCAAAUCCAUAUCAGUACUGCAGUAUGUUUCUUGCUCCGCAUUAGAAGUCUUUGAAGGGAAAACAUGUGUUAUUAAGUAAUAUCAGGAUUAUUGAUAUUGUCUGUUUGAACCACAUUAGCAUCUGCUCAGUAAUCUCUAAACGCUGUUACAUUUCAACAGUGUACUGUAACAAAUUAAAGUGAAACUUAAAUAUAUGUUUGAUAGGAUCCCAGUUGUGGAAUGCGUUUCAGCCCUGUUUUCAUUAUUCCUCAGUGUAUACCUUGCUGAAAAGCGUUAUUCAUCCCCAUUAGACAAAUGUAGUCGGAAUUGUUGCAAUUACGUGCCACACAUCAGCACUUGCUUGUUUCCUUUCUUAUUAGAAAUGCGAUGUGCACUGAAACCUGGUAGCAUCUGAAAGGGUGAAAACAGGUAUCAAAAGCAAAUGAAAGAUUUCAUAGAAGAGUACUAGAGCAUAUCUUGCAAAGCAUCACUUCGCAGAGCAGAUCUACAGAAGCUGGACCCAGGCACAUAUUUUCAAAUGAAGCCCCCUGGCACACUGAGGCUGCUUUUUGUGACCUAAUGGUGUUUUUAAAUGGAUGGAUUUAACUAGAGAGGUUUUCUUGCACAUGACCUUUAAAAGAGAAAAAGAACAAUGUUAGCAUUCAACCCAAACCCUGUAGUCUGUCACUUUGUAUACCAUAUCAUUACUAGCAAAAUUUAAAGGAAAACUGCACCCAUUUUGCUCAGCCCAGCAAUAGGAAAGUUCACAGGCUAAGAAGCACUUGUCACCAUUUUUUAAAUUACAAUUGGCAUUCCCGAGGAGGCAGCCAUUUUACUGAAAUAUGAUCCAUCUAUUCUCCCUCUGCCAGGCUGGCCAGGCAGCCAGUAGGAUUAUGAAUCUGACACACUUCUGGUGGGGAAGUGCCACCUGAAUUGCAAAACCAUGCAAUUGUCCAGAGAUGCUGCUCUCCCUUCAUGGUGAGCAGGGUGGCACGUGGAUAACGAAACACAUUUCCUCCUCCGGAAGAAAUCAAGCUGUUGCAGUGUGAGUUUAGACAAUCCCAUGAGAAGUUUGGUAUGCUAGGGCUUUUUCAUGAUUGUGCUUUUGCUUUUUCUGAAUGCGCCCUUUGGUUAAAAUCUACUGAUACCUUGGAUGGAGUGGUUAAGAAAGCAUAUUUUCACCUGGAAAGAAAUCAUAAACCAACAGUGAUGUUGAUGGGAGCUGCUAAAAGAGCAACCUUGUGCCCCUAUUUUGUUCCAGUGUCCUGAUAAUUUGCAGCAAUCCUGCUGGACACGCAUUUUUGAAGGCCAACUUUUUUGCUUCUAAUGUUCUACUUUUUUUUAGUUUAUGUUGUUGCAUGUAUGGACUCCAAGUAAAACAGAGUUGUCGGCUGUUCAGUAUUGCAAACACAAAAUGCAACUCUGACUCUUCCAUGCGGAGCUCACAGUCUAGGUGAACAAGUCAGAGAAAAAGUUCCAAAGGAACACCACACAUUAAAUGAGCAAUGGUUGGAAGAGACCAUGAAAUGAAUGAUAUGCAGGUUAAAUAACUCGUGUCACAUGAGUUGCCUAGCUUUGAUGUGCUGUUCAUGCCUUGUGUUGUGCAGAAGAUCAGAAUGCUGUACCUUGACCUUCUGGAGUUCAUUGCAGUUCAUCUUCAGUCCCACGUUCAGCAAAUUGCUGAAAAAGGGAGCAAGUGUGUAGCUCACCAUGACUCAGGCUGUACCCGCUGGGAAGAGGUGUGACCUCAUGGACAGCUGACAUGGAAGAAAGAAUAUCAGACUGUGGAUACCAUUUGGAAACCCAAGAACACCACCACCUUGACAUAAAUCCACAUAAGCCAGAGGAAUUAUAGCUUUUGUUUCCUUGGAAAAAGAGGGGGAAAAAAAAAAAAGAGAAGAGAAGAGAAGAGAAGAGAAGAGAAGAGAAGAGAAGAGAAGAGAAGAGAAGAGAAGAGAAGAGAAGAGAAGAGAAGAGAAGAGAAGAGAAGAGAAGAGAAGAGAAGAGAAGAGAAAAAAAGAAAAAUAACAUAAAAAAAAGAAAAAGAAUGUCCAUUUGAAUAAACAGUGAUAAUAAUUUUAUCUGAAUAAAUCUUUAAUAAAUUGAAAUUAUUACUGCAGGCUUAAAUAAGCGGUAAGAUUUGACAAGAAGGGCAUUAUCAUCUAAUUAUACUUACUUUAUGAAAGAGAGGGGCAAGGGCCAACCUGUGAGCUGUCUGAACUGCAGUAAUAGAGUGAUCCCCUCUGCAGACUAAAGAAGGAGCCAUCAGACAACAAUAACACACAAGCGGUGCACUGAACGUUGCAGUGGAAACCAUGAUUCACAGAUACACUGUCUUAAUUGUUACGGAAGCGAGUAGAGUGGUACGGAAAGUGCAUGGCAGAGCAGCCUUUGCUGGAUGGAUGAGAGGAUCCCGUGCCAGAUAUUAUAUGAUACUCCUGAAGGUUUCUUUAAUUAUCAGCAGUCAGUGCUGUGUGUGAGCUUCCUAUUGGCUCAGCGCUCAGCAUAAAGCCGCGUAUCUGCAUUGCAAACAGGUGUACAGGUAGAACUGGUACGUAAAUUACCUUCUUCCUGAGGGCAUCUGCCUUCCUAGGAACACUUAAGAAAUGCUGAGAAGACACCUGUGAGCGGCUCUAUUGGUGUCUCAUAUUCUGCUGUUGGCACUGGAUUAUAAAGAGCUGUGCCCACUGAAACAUCUUGCCUUUCUCAUACGAGCAGUGGGAAAAAACAGGGAAUCAAUAAACGGAAAAAUCAUUGCCUGCUAAUGUUCACAAUCUCUUUGAACGUUGGAUUUGUUUGGCAAAUAGGACUGACUUGUUUAAAACCUCCACAUGAGACAUUUAUUUCACAGAGAGCAAAAAAGAAGAGUGAUCAUCAUAAUCUGCUGGAAUUAACAACCUAGCAUAGCUCUUGGCUUAGAUUAACUGCUGCAUUUAUGGUGUACUCCAAAAAGCAGUUCUCUUGUGUAUGUACAGACUGUUUUGUUUUGCAUAUUUACAUUUUUUAUUUAUGAACUGUUAAUCUCAGCCCUCCCUAGAUUAUGUCCUUAUGAUACAUAUUUUUUCAUACUCACCUGGCGACAUAUGAGCUUUUCUCAUUAGAAUCUUGUCUCACUUAGCACUUAGGUUGGAACAACACCAUGCAGCAGGGAAAGGCACUGUCUUUCAUCCCCUGCAGAAGUCCAUCCAUCCUUCUCAGCCCUCGUAGACAGGCCUGAGCCAUUUUGGUCACCGCAAGCAAGGAGCUCCAGGCUGCGGUGGGGACAGCACACACACAGGCAGGACAGUGAGGGAGUGCAGAACUUUGGGAGGCUCUUCCAGAGCUGCACAAUGAAGAGAAGGCCAUGGACAAAGUAAUGACUUCUCCACUCUGUCUUUUGAAAACAGCUUGGCAACUCUGGUGGGAUCAUCCCCAAACAGUGCAGCAUGCAGCAGAUAUUGAGCAGGUUCAUUGAGGCCAGACUCUGAUAUCAAAGGUGAUAUGAGUGACUGACAUGGCCACACCACCACGGCAGCGUGGAGGGCUAUGGUCACACACACUCCCCCAUUGUUUCCCAGGAGCAGUCAUAUCUCACCUUACCUCCCAGGGCUCAGAAGGAAGGCUAGAAAUAGAAACAUAUUACAGAUGUGCACUGGGGAUGUGGUUGGGCUUAGUUUCUGUUCCUUUCCCCGUUGCAAGGGCUAAGCAUGCUUUUGCAUUUCUGAAGGCUGGGACUGGCCGCUGUGAGCAUAAAUCAUGAUGGUAUGGUAAAAAACUGUGAACAGCGAGGUCCUUAAAAAAGAGAUGUUCAGACACCUUCAUCUGAAGUAACAGAAGAUGCCCCGCAGUUACUGUACACACUAGGUGUCAGUUUGCCUAGAUGUUGCUGCUUUCAUACAGCCUUUGGUACUUAAAUUCUCUCAUUUUGUAUAUAAUUCCCUAUAACGUGCCAACACUGCAGCCAAUAUAACUUCAUGUCUUUUUUCACUUGUGCCAGAAAGCUGAACAAGUGGGAUGAGGUUACGCUAAGCAAGAAGGAGAUCACUGGCAAGAAAGAUCUCAAAAGUUCACAGAAAAGCAAGAGAAAAAGAGACACAAAAAGAUCUUGUCAAGAAGAAUGCUCAGAGCACCAAGUUAUAUCUCCCUCGACAUAAACACAUACAGACAAAAAUGACUCACUGUGAGUCAGAGAGAGGGGUUUUAUUUACACCACAGAACUUGGAAAUAACAUUGCUGCCGAUUCUGUUCUGUUCAGUGAUGGUGGGUAUAAGCACAAGGCUGCUAACACUUCUGUAUGAAUCAACGUUUUAAAAUCACUCCUCCCUUCAGUCAGAACUGUUUUCUCGCUUAUGUGAAUUAACCUACCGAACUGGCACAUGAAAUAGUCUGUUUCAGUAUCUAUUACUGAAUAUGUUUUGGCCUGGAUCCCUACAGCAGUUAGGAGCUUGAGUUGUACUGAAAUCACUGAGCAGAGGGGGAAAAAGAAAGUAUUAUUCCUGCUCUUUUCUCUGAGUAACUUUCAGACCAUGACCUGUGGCCAAGCUUUGUGGGAGAAUCUGUCCUGGCACCCUCCUCCAUGGAGGUCCUGUGUGUGGGACACAGCAGUGAGGGAGAAGCAGGGCUGGGAGGUGCUGUGAGCAUGGGACAGAAUACACCUGGAUAGAAUACGUCCCUACUCUUUGUGAGGAGUGAACUGAGAUGUGCUCAUCUUUGACAAGGUGGAUACAUUUCUCCUAGAAAGAAAACACUUUUUGAUCUAGAAAAAACAUCUGAGCUGCUGAGAAAUAUUUUGAUAGAUGUUUCGUUGCCAUCCCUACCAGUCAUUCAUGUCCAACAUGUCCCCUGCCGCCAUAACAGAACAGCAAUACUUCACAAUGGCAAGUCCAGAUGCAUUUUGAAUGGGUGCUCUAUGGCUGGUGAUGUCUCCUGCUUGCCUCCCAGCUCCUACAGCCCCCUGUAAGACAGCAUGGUGAUGAGUCUGUUGUUGGAAUUUGGGACAGGCAGGGGACAUCACACAUUCGGCAGUAGAAAAGCUUUUCUUCUGUUCUCCUACAGAGGAACUCUCAACAAUUAUUUUUUUCUAAACAAAAUAUGAAGUUUGGGGCAAAUAUUUAGGGUGCAUUCAGAUGCCAAGUGUAAAGAGUGGGUGAGAAGGUGUGAUGUCUACAAACAGAGCCAGUACGCAAAACACUCAGUUAUGGACAUGGCCAAGGUAAAUAGGACUGCUGAAACUGUCUUAGCCCCCCACCGUCCUCAUGUGUGGGUUUAUAUGUGCCAGCAGAGCCAGGUUAACCUUAAUUGUGUGUUGUUUAACUUGGCUGUAAACGGCCAACCCUUUUUCUAACUUGGCUCCAAUUGCAGGUAUCACACCUUUCCACUACUGACCUUUCUUGUCUAAAUUGUUUUUUUAAUGCAUAUUAAAUAUUUUUGAUCUACUUUAAUUUCCUAUGGCUUUUUACUGCAGAAAAUGUUACAGAAAAUAUUUCUUCUGAUAGAAAGACAUAUUUUAAUAGCAAAAGUCUUACGUUCUCAAUAGCUGGGCAGGUGAGCAGGUUGUAGAAUCUGGUUCUUUCUGAAGGAAGUAGUGUCAGAAAACCUCACUGAAAUCUGAUGUACUGUUUUUUUCAGUGCAUUCAUUGGCAGAAGUAACAGGAGUGCAACUUCGUCACAGCUGCUAACUUACGCUACUGUCUGGCGGACUCCCCUGUACUGCACCCUGAUGUCUGCACAGAAGCAGAACGAUGUUUAUGGAAGCAGAUCAUAGAACCAUAGAAUGGCCUGGGUUGAAAAGGACCACAGUGAUCAUCGAGCUUCAACCCCCUUGCUAUGUGCAGGGUCGCCAGAUGAAUCAUUGCUGAGGUCCUACUGGUACCACAGUUAGUUUUGCAAAAACUGUAUUCAAGGUGGAAAAGAGUGGAAAAAUAAUUUGGAAUUCCUGAAAACUGGAAUGUUAUUCUGGUUCUCAUCAUUUUAAUCCCCACUGAGCCCAUCUUCUGUAAUAGAUGUCUUCUGCUAAUUAUUCCAUUGCCAGUUCAAGCUAUAAUUUUAGAUCACUCUGAGCAAGAGGUAUUAUCAGCUGAUUUGUUGGGACAGCUCUGAAGUGAAAGGAGCAGUGUGGUGGUGUGAUUUCAUCUAGUGCCUCCAGGUUAGCAUCUGAAAGCAGCAGCACUCCAGCCAUGAUUUGUUUUAAACCAGACUUAGUCUUCGUGCACUUUCUUGCUUAAAGUAUGGUAAAUAAAGGGCGAGCAUUUCUAAGGCACAGAGGGUAACUCUUCCACCGAACACCGGUGUAAGUCAUGUGUACAAUUCCCAUUUUGCUUUUUUGAAAGCACACGUCUCUGCUUUGCCCAUGUGCACACCCCACAUUCCCAUUCAACCCUCUGCACACAAUGUAAUUUCCUUCCAGUAUGACAAACCCUCUGCUGUAGCUGAAAUACACCGAGGGUAUUUUUGUCAAGCUGCUGAGACCAGGUUCUCCACUCCACUCCGCACUCGUGGGGUGAUCAGAUCCUGAAGUUAGCAGAGUCGCAUAAGACCUUAUUAGCCACUGCUGCAGGCGCUGUCUGUGUGCUCUAAAAACAACCAUGAGAACAGCAACUCAGCUGGGGAGAGCAUAUGCAACAGCCCUUUAAUCAUUGCGUCGGCUCAACAUGUCAUGAUGCGUAAGCUUUCUCAUCAAUGAGGCUGGGAACACAAAACCAGAGAACUUCUUAAAUAUUUCAAACAUCUGCGUCUCAUACUACCAAAUUACCAACAAAAAGGGGGGAAAAAAAGAGGAAAAAAAAAAAAAAAAGGAGGGAGAAAGGGAGAAAGAAAGAAAAACAUCUCCUGGAUCAAAAGUGUCCCUUAUCAGGAAAUGAAGGACAGGAACAAAAAUACCCUCCUCCUCCAUCUCCUCCUCUUCUUUUCCCACCUCAAACUCGACGACAGAAUUCUUUCAUCUGACGGCUCCCUGUAAAACGAGAGCGGGGUGUUUACAAACGGGGCUGCCCAGUGCACACCGGCAGGAUGCAGCCCGGCAGCCCCAGCACAGCAGCGGGCGGCGCGGGGGGAGCAGCGGCCACAAGGUGUCUCUAUGGGUGUCUGUGCGGGAUGCGCUGCGCCGAGGGUUUCAAACGCCUUCCCAUCCCUCCCUGCCCGCUCUCUGCAGACACCGAACCCUCAAACUCUUAGGAAAAGGGAAUGCUGUAUAAAGAUUUCUUGAUUUUUGUUUUAAAUCACAAGGAAAGGCGGGUGGACCUGGCUUAGGUCUUGGGCUCUGUGCCUUAGCCAGCUGUAUAUUCUCCUCUGUACUUAGGCAGAGAAAGCGCAGCAGUGAGGAUAAGUGUUUGCUGAGAACACCGAAGGAAUUAGUUUCAGAGGUGGGAGAGGAAGGCUGGCAUCCCCCAGUCCCAGGCAUGUGUGCUGCAGACUGCUGCAUUUUGGCUUGGCUGGGGUUUAAGGCUCGCCACUGAGGUCAUGCAGGAAAUGCAACGCUGAUACCAUUUUGCAGGAGCUCUCCAUUGGCACGAUCCACGUCUCUGAGAAUACAACAGUCCAUCACUAAUCCGAUCAUCUUUCUGUGACUGAAGGGUCCAUGCAAUUAUAAAAAAAAAAAAGGGGGGGGGGGGGGGAGAUGAUUUGAAUGCUGUAUCCCUCAUGUGGAAUUACGUUUGGACUUUAUCCAAAGAGACAGGGAAGGGAUUUUGUUGUUUUGUUUGAUCACUUCUUGCCACGGAACUUUGUUUGACUCGAACCACAAUGAUACAAGCAUUCAAACACCACCUUCAGAUGUAAUAUUGAUUUAUAAAACAGCAGCGCACAGCUGCUGAAUUUCACUGUUGCAUGCAGAAGGUCUUCAACUCCCAACGAAUUACUGGCAUUUUUACCUAUUUACAAAUUAAUUUUUCCUCUGAACUUUGUGUGUUUCUUAUUAUUCCAGUCUGCUUUCUUUAGUUUCUGCUUAGAAACCUUGCACGAGUGCAUUAUGCAGUGAUAGGGCAGCUUUAGAGCAUCAGUUAAAUUGGAGUUAAACAAAAAAAAUCUAGAUCAACUUUUUAUCCUUAGGCAAGUUAUGCACUGAGUAAAAUUAAACCACUGUAUGUACUUGUAAAUCGAAGAACCAGGGGUGGAGGAUGGGUCAGAAACACUAAGAUCAAAGUUUUCCCUCUUUGAAAAAAAUCCCUUUGAAAAGCCCCCAUGCCACCUAUUCUGCUUGUUAAUGUUUUGACUGGAAGUGUCUGGCAGUGUCAUCAUCAGCAGAAUAUUUUUAAAGAGGUUUUUUUUUUUCUUUUUUUUUUUUUUUUUUUUCUCAGAGCUGGCUCUAAUAGCAAACCUAUGGAUCCUUAGCAGCCUCUGUUAUAUGUCUCUUAGGGGAAUAUUUUUGUUAAUUGCAAAUAUUUGAUUGACAAACAUGGGAUGCAAUUAGUAGGCAGGCACAGUAGGAAUGUGCAGUGAACUGGAUCUCUGAACCAACAGAUCUCAACUCUCUCAGCUUGAUCUGAAAUAGGCUAGAGCAUUUAAACCAUAUGUUUCCCUCAAACUUUUUCUAUCCUCUGAAAAUUCCUUAUUUCCCUCAACUAACCUCCUCUCACUCUCUGCACCAAGGGAGCUAAUUCAUCUACUGUGAUCGCGUCAAAUAAAGACAGAAAAUUCUACACAAGCUUCAGACUUAUGCCGCUUUUUGACCGUGGCAGUAAAAAUUAAUGUGGACAAGACUAUACAUGCCAGUUGUGCCUCACAAAAGCCCUAGGUGAAAGAGAAUACAAUCUAAUUUAACUUUAGACAUUUUGAGCUUAAUGGUCUAUUUAAACAACCUGGUACCAUCUGACUACAUUUAUCAAUUAUAUUUCUUUUUAUUUAUACAGAGUACUGUCUUUCUGGGGAGGCUAUAAUUAAAACUUAUCUAGAUAAAUGGUGCUCGGAUUCUGCAGCAUGAGCAAGAAUUCAAAGGACAUCGGUGUUUUUAUGUGCUCUUUUCCAUAAAAAGUUUAAAGGGAAAUACAUUUCAAUAAUUAGAAUAACCUAAUUGCACGAGUUUUUAUAAUUACAUCUAGAAGUUAUCAGCAGGAAAUGCCAUGUGGUCUGCAGACUGUGGUGUUGACAUCCCAGAAGAAGCCCUUUCUGACCGAGCAGUGCCUUUUCUCAUGGGGUAGGCUGCUUGUUGCUCCCUUCUUAUGGCAAAGUCCCUGAAGGGAAAGCUAUCCCUCAGAAAUACACUGGCUCUUAUGGUUUGAGGACAUUCCGAGCUCUCUGGCUGGGGUGUCAGAAUGACCCCCACUGCAGGUGGCUCCACUCCCCGCUCAGUGUGUGGUGCAGUGUCAGGGUUCUAUUCUUUGCAGGUCAAUUGUAAGAGUCCAUUUCCCAGAUACUGAGAAGUACAGACCCCAUUGGGCAACUUUCUGCAGCUGGAGUAGUUGUGUUGGCAACAUAGACAGGUUUUGUAGGGGGUGGUGUUGCAUUGUCAGGGGGCAAUCAGAGGGAACGGAGAGGUCACCUUCUCCUAACUAUUGUUUUUAGUGAGUGGAAUCCACCAGUCUUACCAUGGCCUGAUGUUAGUCAUGGAAGACCUCCAUCUUUGAGUGCUGUGGCAUGCAGCCAUAUGGGUAGCAUGAGUUCAUAUGUACGUCCACCAUCACACUCCAUGAAAGCACGUAUAUUCAUAAAAGCACAUGAAGGUGCUGAUGAAACUCUGCUCAUUUCUGAAGGGCCCAAACCCCCCAGUAUUUCUCCUACAGGGAACUGCUCCCGUGAUUAAGGCUGACUCACGUAAGUGUUGCAAGAUCCAGCCUUUAAUUUGCAAAUCCCAAUAACGAUAUAUGUUAAUCAGACACUUCAUCAGUGAAAAGAGUCCUAGAUCUGUAGUACGGUGAGGCUAUAAAUAUAAGCUAGAUUCCUUUAAAACUCCCUUGCAGAAUUUUGUCCCUAGAAGGGAAAGUGUUAUCUUGGUGCUGUCUGAGUCCUGACUAUAAGAUUUCAAACUCAUUAUAAGCAGCCCCACAGAACUAGCAAAACAAUUAUUUCCGACUGUAACACUUCGUGCCGCGUAUCUGUAACCCUCUUACUGAAGCAGGAUUUAACAGAGACAUUCACACUGCACUCUUUUUAGGAGGUUGGGCAGUAUUUUUACAGAAGGGCAGAUGAGGAAGGUCCACUGCAAAGCCACAGUAAUUUAGACAGAACUGCCUGAUGAGCAGCUUUGGUGUACAACAGAGAUGUGAAUGCUGGACCAGGUGCACGCUUGGACUUGCCGAGGUCGCCCUCAGUGGGACCAGUCCCCUGCAGAUAAUUUUUUUCCACACUGGAGCCGCUGUUGUGUCUCUCUGUUCAAGCGCUUGACAGAAAAUGUCCACAGUCGGGCUGUGCAUAAUGUAUACUGUCAAUUUGUAUGAUCUUUCAGUGCAACCGUGUGAAAGGGGGACUCUGUCUCAGGUUUUCCCUUCGCAGCACCACAGUUUAAAUGUUACUGUUUUGUCAUGUUAAUGUAAUUCACUUAAAAUACUUAAAUUGUCCUUAGCUAAUUGGGGAGGGGGAGAUGAUUAUUGUGGCAAACUCGUAGCAUGCGGUGUUCAGAGCGGUGCUGACACCAUUUUGGUGAACACAGGUGAUGAAUGGUGUUGACAUGAGCGGCUGCAGUUACACAGUGUGCGUAUACACAAAUUAUACCACCAUGUGUGUUCCUCUCUGUUAUGAAAGCCUUUUGUUUAUAUAUACCCAGCUAUACAUUUACACAUUAUGUAAAUAAACACACAUAUGCCCAUGCAAUUUAAUUGAAUAUAUGUCUGUGGGUUAAGAGGCAUGUUACUCUGAUGAAAACAUCUUAUGGUACCAAGUAAAAAUAUUUCCAACGUGCUUCUGAGCCUCCUGUAGAAUUUAAGAAGGAACUGCAGAGCUUUCCUUAAGGUAAUGUUUAGAGUCAUUCAACGCGAGGGCAUGGCGUUCUUCCAAAACCUGUAGGCUGUUGAAUGGCACUCUUAGAAACCCAUGAGGUCUCAUUUUUACUCAGUUCCGUCUAGCCUUACUCAGCUAUGAGCUUUGCCAUCGAGCUUUGGUUCAUGCACAAUGGAACGUUAUGUUCAGAGUUUUGUCUCAGAUUAGGUAUGUGCUCUUCGAGCAGUGUCCGUGUGGAUUAGUCCUUCCAAACACCACCUCCCUAAAACCAGCACAACACCUACGGGUGGCACGGAGUGUGCAACUCCAGCUACAGUGAGUCAGCUUUGGGGCUGGGCGGCAGGGAACUGGGGAGGUGGUCUCCUGUUGGAAAAUGCCUUGGGGAGCUGCAGGGGG